CAUAAUUUUAAGAAAGCUCUCUUGCCUUAUGAUUUUAUUUGUUGUCCUUUUUUUUUAAUUGAAACCUUCCACCCAGUUUUCUGUUUAUUCUUUAUUUCUGAGAUCUGUUACUCAAAUAGAAUUAUUACAGUUUUCUUUUUUUUUCCCCUCAAGGAUUUAAUACUCAAGUCAGUUGGGUAUUCUUUGUGCUUCCAUGCAGCCUUCCCUAAAGUUUCUCAUAUUUACAUAUACAUUCCCUUAGUGCUAUUGUAGCCUUAUAGGACCCUUUACAUGCCUUUCACCUCACUUUCUUUGCAAUUAUUUGCCUCUUCUCCGGUUUAAGAAUGUUCCCAAAAGGCAGCAACUGUUUUUAAUUACCAAUAUGUUCCUCCUCCUGGUACAUUGUAAGAUAUUGAAUCUGUAUGCACAAUUGUAUACAAAAUGUGAGAAAUAAUAAGCUAACAUAACAUUUUUAAUAGUACUUUUGAAAAUUAAUGAUGUUCUAUAGAUGCCAGGGUAGCCUUCAAAUUUUUUAAUGUUCCAAAUACUUAAUUUUCAAUUGAUUUGUAGUUAUUAAUAAAAUACAUAUUUACAGAACCCAUUAAUAAUGUAUCAAUAUAAUUUUCUUAAGACUUUAUUCAUCAAUUCUUUAAGGAUUUUAAAUCUUAAUAGAAGGCAACUGCAGAUAAAUAUUAACUGAAGAGUUACUAGACAAUAUUUUUCAUAGACAUAAAUGAAGGAAAUUAUAAAAUUGCACAUAUUUAUUUUUAAAUUAUAGUUGGACACAAUACCUUUAUUUUAUUUAUUUAUUUUUAUGUGGUGCUUAGGAUCGAACCCAGGGCCUUGUACAUUUUAGGUCGGUGCUCUAGUGCUGAGCCACAAC
rnacentral:lncRNA from 1 species